rnacentral:tRNA from 1 species
AGCCUGGUUUGCAUAAUAGUAAUGCACCCGUUUUGUAAUCGGAAGAUAUGAGUGCAAUUCUCGUACUGGGCU